UACGUAGGGUGCGAGCGUUGUCCGGAAUUAUUGGGCGUAAAGGGCUCGUAGGCGGUCUGUCGCGUCGGGAGUGAAAACUCAGGGCUUAACCCUGAGCCUGCUUCCGAUACGGGCAGACUAGAGGUAUGCAGGGGAGAACGGAAUUCCUGGUGUAGCGGUGGAAUGCGCAGAUAUCAGGAGGAACACCGGUGGCGAAGGCGGGUCUCUGGGCCGAUAUUGACGCUGAGGAGCGAAAGCGUGGGGAGCGAACAGG
rnacentral:rRNA from 1 species